rnacentral:rRNA from 1 species
GACGAACGCUGGCGGCGUGCUUAACACAUGCAAGUCGAACGGAAAGGCCCUGCUUUUGUGGGGUGCUCGAGUGGCGAACGGGUGAGUAACACGUGAGUAACCUGCCCUUGACUUUGGGAUAACUUCAGGAAACUGGGGCUAAUACCGGAUAGGAGCUCCUGCUGCAUGGUGGGGGUUGGAAAGUUUCGGCGGUUGGGGAUGGACUCGCGGCUUAUCAGCUUGUUGGUGGGGUAGUGGCUUACCAAGGCUUUGACGGGUAGCCGGGCUGAGAGGGUGACCGGCCACAUUGGGACUGAGAUGCGGCCCAGACUCCUACGGGAGGCAGCAGUGGGGAAUAGUGCACAAUGGGCGGAAGCCUGAUGCAGCAACGCCGCGUGCGGGAUGACGGCCUUCGGGUUGUAAACCGCUUUCGCCUGUGACGAAGCGUGAGUGACGGUAAUGGGUAAAGAAGCACCGGCUAACUACGUG